AAGAAUGGCGAUGACCAAGUAACCUGGAAACGGAAGGUACAUCGACACGCAAUAAAAGGAGCUGUACCGCUAAGGUGCUGCACUGAAGGAGGAGGAGGAGGAGGACGAAGGAGAACACGACCUUGGAGCUGCACAUUCAGCUGUGUCAUCCGCGAGCCGUUAACGCUCAGGUGGUUUCUCGAGAGCCCCAGGGACGAGCAUCAAUCACUCAAUCGGUGGACAAGGUCGACAAAGAGAAAUGGAAAAAAAAAGAGACGAUGCACGCAAGAAGAAGGAGCCGGGUCCCUCGUCUCAUCUUUUUCAAUUCGACCUCUUCCAUCCUUUUAUUCACGGCCGAUUCACGUGAAAGAGCGGCGGCACGGGUUUUCUUGAAUCCUUCUGUAACGUCCAUUAAUCUUUGAUCGCGCUCGCACGUUAAAAUGACACGUUGGCCGUUAGUUACGCAACCUCUGGUAAAGUGCUAAUGAAGUGCAUACACGGCCGUAAUUACCACGGAGAGUAUGGAGUGGCCUGCCCACUUUUCACGCCGGUGAUCGAACGUUGGGAAAAGAUAGGGGGGAGGGGGAGGUGGGGGGGGGGGGAAAAAGAAAAAGGAAAAAGAAAAGAAAAAUAUUCGAUUUCGUAACGAUUCAGGUGGAAAACGAGCGUUUCAUGGCGGCGUACGAGCCAAGCGUUUUUCUUUUUUUUUUCUUUUUUUUUUUUUUUUUUUUUUUUUUUACGCGUUUAUGUGUGCGAAAUUGCGCGCGCGUGUGGAAUGCGAUGGAGUUGAAAAGGCUUGUGAAGAUUAUUAUCGAGAUGUUAUAAGCGAGAUUUAUCUUUGAUUAUUUUUUUUUUUUUUUUGAGUUGGAUUCAAAUUAAAUUUUUUUUUUUUUUUUUGGAUUUCUUCCCGGAGGGAAUUAUUCAAUUAUAAUACGAUAUAAUGCGCAAAAAAUUGUUUUUCAACGAAUUAUGGAAAAAAUAUUCUCUCGAUAAUUUUUUCGUUGGAAUUGUAUUCUUGGAACGGGAUAGAGCAUUCCGAUUAAAAAAGUUAUUUUUAGGAUUCUUCUAGAAAUUAUUUUAUCUAUAACGAUAAAAAACUAGGUAUUUUUAUAAUAAAUUUAAUAUACUUAUAAUUAUAUUUACUUAUUUAUAUUAUUCGAUUAUAUUAUUCAAUCGUGAUAAUGAAUUAAGUGAAUUUUUUAAUCGACUUGCAUCAGGAAUAACAUAAGAGAUCGACACAAAAAUUAUUUGUUCUGUCAUUGCUUACUCUUAUGAAAGAAAAGAAAAAAAAAAAUUUGUAAUAUUGUCGAUUCAAAUUCUCCUUGCUAACUGCGAAAAAAAAAAUCGAUAAAUCAUUUUUAUCAUUAUCGCGCUAAUCUAUGUAAAUAAUAAUCUAUGCAAAUAGAAAAUAUUUAAAUUAA